GGAACAAUAUCGAGAAGAUUAGCAUAGUCCCUGUGCAAGGAUGACACGCAAAUUCUUGACACAUUCCAUAUUUUU
rnacentral:snRNA from 14 species